CCUACGGGCGGCAGCAGUGAGGAAUAUUGGUCAAUGGACGAGAGUCUGAACCAGCCAAGUAGCGUGAAGGAUGACUGCCCUAUGGGUUGUAAACUUCUUUUAUAUGGGAAUAAAACGUUCCACGUGUGGGAUUUUGUAUGUACCAUAUGAAUAAGGAUCGGCUAACUCCGUGCCAGCAGCCGCGGUAAUACGGAGGAUCCGAUCGUUAUCCGGAUUUAUUGGGGUUAAAGGGAGCGUAGGUGGAUUGGUAAGUCAGUUGUGAAAGUUUGCGGCUCAACCGGAAAAUUGCAGUUGAAACUGGCAGUCUUGAGUACAGUAGAGGUGGGCGGAAUUCGUGGUGUAGCGGUGAAAUGCUUAGAUAUCACGAAGAACUCCGAUUGCGAAGGCAGUUCACUGGACUGCAACUGACACUGAGGCUCGAAAGUGUGGGUAUCAAACAGGAUUAGAUACCCCGGUAGUC
rnacentral:rRNA from 1 species